rnacentral:rRNA from 1 species
UACGGGGGGGGGCAAGCGUUGUUCGGAAUUACUGGGCGUAAAGGGCUCGUAGGCGGCCAACUAAGUCGGAUGUGAAAUCCCCAGGCUUAACCUGGGAACUGCAUCCGAUACUGGAUGGCUUGAAUUCGGGAGAGGGAUGCGGAAUUCCAGGUGUAGCGGUGAAAUGCGUAGAUAUCUGGAGGAACACCGGUGGCGAAGGCGGCAUCCUGGACCGACACUGACACUGAGGAGCGAAAGCCAGGGGAGCAAACGGG